rfam:Actinomyces sp. oral taxon 848 str. F0332 genomic scaffold Scfld0, whole genome shotgun sequence.
CGCGGCUCCUCAUGCGGCGUCACCUCGCAAAACUCCCCCAGGGCUGGAAGGCAGCAAGGGUAUGCGGGCUCUGGCGGGUGCGUGGGGAGUCCUUUGU